rnacentral:rRNA from 1 species
AAGCAACGCGAAGAACCUUACCAGGUCUUGACAUCCUCUGACAAUCCUAGAGAUAGGACUUUCCCCUUCGGGGGACAGAGUGACAGGUGGUGCAUGGUUGUCGUCAGCUCGUGUCGUGAGAUGUUGGGUUAAGUCCCGCAACGAGCGCAACCCUUAUUCUUAGUUGCCAGCAUUAAGUUGGGCACUCUAAGGAGACUGCCGGUGACAAACCGGAGGAAGGUGGGGAUGACGUCAAAUCAUCAUGCCCCUUAUGACCUGGGCUACACACGUGCUACAAUGGAUGGUACAAAGGGCUGCAAAACCGCGAGGUCAAGCCAAUCCCAUAAAACCAUUCUCAGUUCGGAUUGUAGGCUGCAACUCGCCUACAUGAAGCCGGAAUCGCUAGUAAUCGUGGAUCAGCAUGCCACGGUGAAUACGUUCCCGGGUCUUGUACACACCGCCCGUCACACCACGAGAGUUUGUAACACCCGAAGUCGGUGGGGUAACCUUUUGGAGCCAGCCGCCUAAGGUGGGA